AAGGUGAAGUACUAGAAAUAGUAUUCUGACCCAUUUUUUCAAUAACUACCGCCUCUCUAGAGCUACUAUGUAACCUCUUCUCACAGCAUUCUUUUCACUUUGGUUGAGGACAAAUCAUUUCCAGGUUCUUAAAGAAAAUCGUUCCAGAAUCGUGAGGAAACUUUGUAGAAAGAAAUGGGAUGAGGGGAGUAAAGAAAACACACAAACUACCAUUUGUGAAGAUACGCAACGAAUUGGAGCACAACCUUCCUUGUUUCAUCCAUCAUCAUCGUUGUCUAGUGCUUCUACUUUUCAAUCUUCGAAAGAAAUGGAAGAAAUGCGAAGACAAAUUUCAGAGCUUACAGAAUCACUUCGAUCAUCAGAAACUAACUUUGCUAAAGUGCAGAAAUUCAUGGAGAAACAUAGGUUGAAUCUGAUGAAAGUGAAGGGACCGACUCUGAUGAAAAGUAGAUUAUUUUAUGGUUGUUUAGAUAUUUUCUAUGAGAUUUAGGCAUGUUUUGAACUAUUUACUUCCUUUUUGCAUAACAACUUAAUAAUUAUUAGACUUGAUUUUGGUGAAACUUGAGAUUUUAGACUCAAUUGAAUUGAAUUGAAUGCAAUUUGAAUGUUUAGGAAUGUA